GAGAAAUCCACUUCCGGCGUUGGGGAGGGAAGUCUUUGAGGCCUCGCCCCCAACAGGAAAACCCCCGCCUACUUGUGGUCACCACGCUCCCAACUCCCACGUGAAUCUGGAUUUAAACUUCCGUCCCCAGGGGGCGCAGCGGUCUUGCUUCCGCGCCUGCGCAUUGGUGCUCAGGCCACACCCGACGCCAUGUGUAGGCGCCGCCCCUAGCCUCAGGGAACCAGUCCUGGAUCCAGCUUCUUGGCCCUGCGGGGCUGCAUGCCGUCAUAGUCAGGUUUCACCCACAGCUUCUUGGGAAAAAUGAGGCAUCCGAAUUCUAGGAACAAAUUUAUGGUUACUAGGACGUUCUUGGAUGUUUGCAUUUGAGGUUUAGGUGUUUCCCGUGGGGAUUAGAACGCAGGUGAAGGCCCUUGGCCAGGAUGGGCUCUGGAAAAUAAUGGUGAAAGUGAAUGAAUUAAUCACUAAAAAUCGGUGCGGAGUCUUACAGCGCAGAGUGAGCAGUGUCGCCGUGACGGGCCGGGAGCAUCCGCAGCAAACGGAGACUGCGCAGCUGCGGGCCACCCUCCCUUCCAAGGUGCCCUCAGGGUUCUCUGGAGUUGCGUUGCACUUCUAGGACAUACCCUGGGCCCAAUCUUCAAGAGGCUUCAGAUCCUCACCUCUGGCACCUAGAUAUUUUGCCACUUCCAGACAUCCAGUCAUAAGUGACUGGGGAGGCACUCUCCAACAAAGGCCUCCAUUCCUUGACACAUGGACCCCUCCACAGCCUGCUGUUGAAUUGAGUGGCCUCAUUUCAUGGCAUCUGGCUUCCCACGAAAGAGAGACUCAAGAGGGAGAGAAGUGUGAGCAGGUGCCACUGAGACUCUGAGAUGCCAGGACAUGGCUUAUCUCUUGCAACAUCAGGACAGCCCAGUCCACCCAGUGUUUGUACAUCAACCAGGAGACUUGCUACCAUCUAGUUCUCUUUCCUCUGAGAAGUCUUCUAUAAGCGUCCUGCAACAAUCAUCAUACUGAUCAUCCUACUGAUACAAUCUCCAAUGACUGGAAAUAAGCAUGAAUAUACUGACAAGGGAAGGGUAAUGUAUCUGUGGCAUCUGAGCUGCAAAUCAGUGAGUGUCCUCCUAUGUGAAUAUAUUUAUCUCUGCUGCUAGGCUGUACACAAGUUGUAAAGGAAAUAUGGGAUUUACCUUGUUUAUGGUGAAAAUAAAUCUCCAUUGAAUAAGUGAAUUAAGGAUGGAUAAAUAAACAAGAUAACCCUGUGCUCAUCCCUCUAAAUGGAUUGGUUGAGUAACAUGAAAAAGUUCCUUGUUGGAUGACUCAAGAGUCCUGGAUCCCAGGAAGGCACCAGUGAGAGUUGACAUCAGGCACCUUAAACUUGGAUCCUCCCAUACACUGGGGGAAGAUAUCUGAGCCCAGAGGAAGCGUUUGAAAGAGUUGAGAACUUUUCUCUUAAACUGAGUAGGAAUAGCAUUAUGAGGAAUAUUUGGGGGACUAGGACAGAGCCAGGGAGAAGAUCAGGGAGAGGGGAUGGAAGAACUGAACGGGGAAGAGGGAAGCCCUCCAUUAGUUCCCCUUGGGCCUCUCCAAAUUGAAUCCUGUCGCAGACUAUGAGUCUGGAGUUCUCUCUUGUCCAGCAAGGGAGCGGAUGCAGAAUUGAAUACGAGAGAAGCUAAUGUCCAAGAGGAGACAAGAGCCCUGAACAGGAGUUUCAUCUCCAUGUUUAUUGAGUACACAAGAUAUUACUCACGUGGUGAGCAUGUAGAAAAUAAGAUCUUACACACGUGAAUGUGAAGAAAACAAUCACACAGUAAUUAUUAACUUGUGUGUGUAAGAAGCAAAGGAUCUGGGGGGCAAGUGGAGUUUGUGAUCAAAGUAUAAUUGUACAUUGGCGUCAAAUGGAAAGUAAUUUCCUGCAGGUGAUAUAACAAGUUACUCGUGAUCCCAUUACAAAAUCUCGCUAGCUAACCUUGGGUGCUUUUGCCCCAUGGUGGUGACUUUCUGCCCUAAGCUUUUUUCUAACCCAUUUAUGUAAGUAGUACCUAUUUCCCCACGAAAUCCCAUCCUGGUGGUUGCAACAUUUUGUGCAGGGUUCUUGGCUGUGCCUCCCUGACCAGGAAUAGGUAGUUUACAAGGAAGACUUGAAGCCUUAAGUGUCUGUCCUUAAUUCUGUGGCUCCUGCAACCACUGUUCCAUAUGAGCAGCUCACUUCUUCUCCUGCAUGCCAUUGGAGACA